GCCACAGGGGUCCGGUGGAGGACUGGCUGAUCAAAUCGGCUUCGGACUGCGCAGACACCAGUGACGUCAUGCCUCAAAAUCACGUGACGGGCGCAUUUGCAACAAGCCCCGAAGCGGCGCUUCAAACACCAGCGCUUCUAAAGCCCGACACGGUGUGGACAGGACAGUAUCAAGCAACCCAUCGCUACAUGCUGCACCUUCUCGUCUGCACAGUGUGUUCUCCUGAUCUUCACCCCUCCACGGACAGCGAGAGCGCCUCCAUUCCAGCCCCAUCAAUCCCGUCUCUCGCGCUCCUUCCGCCCUUUUUUUUCAGGACCUCCUCCUCUCGCUGAUUUCAUGUUUUAUUUGCAUAACGCACAGCGCCUUCUGAAAGCACCGUGCUAGCUCAGUAGCUGCGCAGACACACGGCCCUCUGUAUCUCCAGCCUGAUCGUUAUAAUAACGUUAAGGGAAUGAAAGUAAAAAGUGUAACAAAGAAAUACAGCUAGACGGUAUGAUCACGUUCACCUGUCCCAGAAUAAAUAAUGAAGUACUUAUGACAUAUACAACAGACAUACUUCUAAAUUAUCACUGAUUCAGCCAAAGAUGAUGGCUCUUGUUGGAAGAAUGAUGAAUGACAACCACAAAAUCCAAACUGCAAAAUGAAGAAGCUGGCAAAAUAUCCCACCGCUGUGUGUUUGUUAGAAGAGAUAUUGUUCCUGGUGAAGAAAUCACCUACACCUACGGAGAGGCACAGUGAGUAGCCUUGGAGGAUGAAGGCCCAAAGGACCAAACCAGACCAAUCAUUACCAAGAAAGAAGUCAAAGAAUGUCUAUUAGUUUAAAAUAAAACCAAACACAU